rnacentral:misc_RNA from 1 species
GCUCAAUAUUUUCCCUAUCCUGAAGAAUCAAAAAAUAAAAAAUUAAGGAGAGAAAAUAUAAGGAAAAAAUCUAACCUCUAACUAAUUAUCAUAGGACAGCAGAAUAUCAGACUAAUCUUAAGCAUAGACAAUAUCCAAUAAAAUGGAGUAAACCAGCCCUGUAAAAUAAGUUGAGAACAUAACUAGAUGAACAUAGCAUAGAACCCACGCCAUCAUCUCAACAUCAUUUUUUUUUUUUU